UCCGGUUUGUCACCGGCAGUCUCUCAUGAGUCCCCGGCAUUAUCCGCUGGCAACAUGAGACGGGGGUUGCGCUCGUUGCGGGACUUAACCCAACACCUCACGGCACGAGCUGACGACAGCCAUGCACCACCUGCACACAGGCCACAAGGGAAUACCUAUCUCUAGGCACGUCCUGUGCAUGUCAAACCCAGGUAAGGUUCUUCGCGUUGCAUCGAAUUAAUCCACAUGCUCCGCCGCUUGUGCGGGCCCCCGUCAAUUUCUUUGAGUUUCAACCUUGCGGUCGUACUCCCCAGGCGGGGCACUUAAUGCGUUAGCGCCGGCACUCAGAGGGUCGCUCCCCCAAGCACCUAGUGCCCAUCGUUUACGGCGUGGACUAC
rnacentral:misc_RNA from 1 species